UACGUAGGGGGCAAGCGUUGUCCGGAAUUACUGGGCGUAAAGCGCAUGUAGGCGGCUCUGUAAGUCGGAUGUGAAAGCCCUCGGCUUAACCGGGGAAGUGCAUUCGAUACUGCAGAGCUAGAGUAUCGGAGAGGGUCGUGGAAUUCCUGGUGUAGAGGUGAAAUUCGUAGAUAUCAGGAGGAACACCGGCGGCGAAGGCGGCGACCUGGACGAAUACUGACGCUCAGAUGCGAAAGCGUGGUAGCAAACAGG
rnacentral:rRNA from 1 species